CUAGGUCAUAUGAUGAUCACAGGUGCAUAGUUAAGAAGAUCGAACCGUGAUUACUUGAAAUAUAAGCCUUUCGCUUUUAUCUCACAACUUCC